UGCUCCAGCAGCACAAUGUGAUCCACUGGCAAGGAGUAGGCUCGUGACACUGUGGAACCGACUCUACCUCUCAUUUAAGAGAUAGAAAAAUGCAGGAACAAGGAAGUGACUUCACCUAUCGAUGAAUCCAGCUGUGACCCGUCUCUGAGCUGAAGCAACAUCAAAGCAAAUCAAGUCAGUGACUAAUUUAACCUGAGGACACUCACUCUCUUCCAAAGAGAACUCAGAAACAUGCCCGUUAAAAGCUAAGACAUAUCCUUAAGCAUGGGCCUUGGAAUCUUUCCCCUGAUUCCUGUCAUUAGUUAGAGAAAGUGGACCAAACACUGGAAUCUGAAUAAUUACUGUUUAUUCCUGAAGAACAAUCUAGAAAGAUUAGUCCAGGACAGAAAUGAGCUUUUAUGGAUGAACUUUUAAAUAUGUAUUUUCACUUUCACUCCAGUCUAGGGAAUUAUGACAAAAUAUUUCCCCCGUGUUCAAUUAUAAAAAUUGUCACAUAUUACAGCAACACAAUCAAUAAAUGAAGAAAUGAAUUUACAUGUUGUAAUAGAGAAUCUUUCUUUUCUUUUUCUUUUGGAAAGAAUAAAUCAGCUUUUUAUUCUUCUAAGAGACUGAAGGACACCUGGGUUGGCUUGUGUGACCUUUCUUUUUUAUUUCUGCCUCUAAUGCUACAAAUCUUUUCCAGUAGAGUCAUCAGGCUAACCAAGUGCAGUUUUUCCCCAUCAGGCCCUGCUGGAGUGUCUUUCACUUCUGCUGUUGCUCCGUGUGUUUCUAGCCUCCAUGCUCUUGCUGGUCUCUUCUGUCCCUGGUGUCACCAGUCACCCCUGAGGACAGAAAAGAGCUCUUCUCCUUGCAGCCAUCACACAUUUGUUUUCAGCUACUGCUUCUCCUCCUCCUUCUGCCACUGCUGUUUUGUUUUGUUUUGUUUUGUUUUGUUUGUUUGCCUGCUUGCUUUUUCAAAACUUUUUUCUGUGUAGCUCUGGCUGUCCUGGAACUCACUCUGUAGACCAGACUGGCCUUGAAUCUAUCUACUUCUGCCUCCUGAUUGCUGGGAUUAAAGAUGUGCCCUGCACUACCACUGUCUGGCUUGUUUUCAACUUCUUCACAUGGCAGGAAUGUCACCCAUUUGAUAGAUAGUGAGUCAACAUCCUACUUGCAACAAUUCCUGUCAGAUGACUCCUUUGAGUCACAAACUGACGCAUGUGCCUUGUCAUCUUUCCCCUGUAGGUAAGAAUGGCCCUUUGCCUGUCUCCUCUUUGUUUUAAACACCCUUCUGCUAUAUUGUACGUAAUCGUAUUUAAAGUUGACUUUCUGUUUUGCCUCAGCACUAAGACCCAUAAUGAGUAUCAAU
rnacentral:lncRNA from 1 species